UACGAAGGGGGCGAGCGUUGUUCGGAUUUACUGGGCGUAAAGGGCGCGCAGGCGGCUCAUUUUGUCAGGCGUGAAAGCCCCGGGCUUAACCGGGGAACUGCGUCUGAUACUGGAUGGCUUGAGAUUGGGAGAGGGAUGCGGAAUUCCAGGUGUAGCGGUGAAAUGCGUAGAUAUCUGGAGGAACACCGGUGGCGGAGGCGGCAUCCUGGACCAACACUGACGCUGAGGAGCGAAAGCCAGGGGAGCAAACGGG
rnacentral:rRNA from 1 species